GAAAAGCUAUUUUGUUCUCUCCUAAAAGUAAAAGGUUUUUAUAUUUCUCAAAGGUGAACUGUUCUUCAGUAUAAAGUGGGGAAGCAGAAAGAGACCGAUUACGUCUUUGUAACAUAUACCACAAGAAACCCUGUUGCUGAGGAAGAAAGAAGAGGGCAUAGGGAGAGGACUGCAUCUGGCUAUCUGUUUUGCAUCCAGGAAUUUUGACAUUUUGAAACUUGUUUCCUUCCGAAGCAGAAUGAUUUGCAGCACCUUUGCAAAUCCUGAAAAGGGCGAAGCUGAAUUGUCCUGAUUUAUUCUUGCAUCCAAAGUGGCCAUAUAUGAGAUAUGUUGUGAUGUCCUAUAGAAUCAGCCACUCUGAGAUGUCUGCCUCUUUCCAGGAACAUGACAAAAACAGUGGCUGAUUUCAACAGGGUUUGAUGUCACAAAAGACAUGGACUUAGAGCAGUUUUUGUAGAAGUGGGUAACAAGAGAGGUGCUGGGAUCUCUAACAUACCUGAGUUCAUUACUAUAAAUUGCUAUCAUUAUCCUCAUAGCUUCUUUUUCUCUUGA
rnacentral:lncRNA from 1 species